GAUGAACGCUAGCGGCAGGCCUAAUACAUGCAAGUCGAACGGUGUCUUCGGACAUAGUGGCGCACGGGUGCGUAACACGUAUGCAACCUACCUUACAUUGGGGGAUAGCCUCUCGAAAGGGAGAUUAAUACCGCAUAAGACAGUAGCUGGGCAUCCAACAGCUGUUAAAGAUUUAUCGAUGCAAGCUGGGCAUGCGUCCAAUUAGCUAGUUGGUGAGGUAACGGCUCACCAAGGCAAUGAUUGGUAGGGGAACUGAGAGGUCAAUCCCCCACACUGGCACUGAGAUACGGGCCAGACUCCUACGGGAGGCAGCAGUAGGGAAUAUUGGGCAAUGGACGCAAGUCUGACCCAGCCAUGCCGCGUGCAGGAUGAAGGCGUUAUGCGUUGUAAACUGCUUUUAUACAGGAGGAAACGACUCUUGCGAGAGGCAUUGACGGUACUGUAUGAAUAAGCACCGGCUAACUCCGUGCCAGCCGCCGCAGUAAUAC
rnacentral:rRNA from 1 species